rnacentral:lncRNA from 1 species
CCGAGCCGAGCCGAGCCGAGACGCGGGCGCCCUCUGGCGGCCGGCGGGUCCCUCCGCCUCGUCAGGGCCCAGCGGCUGCUCUGAGGUGCCGUGCCCGGAGGUUCCGCUGAAAAGAGCUGGGAGAAAAAACACUUUAUUCCAGCACUCCCAUGAACUGCUGUGUGCCCAACCUACUUUGAAGACCGCUGCUCCAUAGGCUGCAUGGAAAAAUCUGGUGGCCAGAGGACCAGAUUUUUCCACAGACUGUCAAGAGGGGAUGAGAAUUUUUAUCACAGGAUCUAGUCACAGUAUUGUGAAUUACAAGUUUACACACCUGAGGCAAUAUGCUGUCUAACUACAAAGGGGAAGCGUCCCAGAUGCCUGCUGGACUUGCAGCCUCCUGCACCCCAUAUGCACGUGUCUGGAUGUGCCUAGAAAAGCCUGUGGACAAAUGCAGACUGGAGAUUCACUGUCUUCAGAAUUCACUCAAGCAACAAUGACCAGGGUGGGCAUUUAUCGCUAUUCCGCCCCUAUGGAGUUCAGAGUCUUUGAAUCAAAGUUCAAGCUGGCUACAUGAUUUCAGAAAGGCUAAAACCAGGAUGAAUGCCCACAUUUGAGGUAAUUAUUGCCAUUAGGUCACAGUUUGCGUAAUGUAAGUGUAUUUAAAUCCUUCUUUUAAAAAAGCAAAAGUAUCCCACAGUACCAGGGGAUACCCAUUGGAGCAAUCAGAAUCCAGAAUCCUGAUCAGUGGGUUUGCUUCCAAAGGAGCCAGCGGUCCCGGAGCACAAGGCACUCCCAGAACAGCCGCCAAUCAGCCUAGAGCUCAGGCAAGCAAGCCUGCAACAAGCCUUUUUAAAUUUUUAAUUUAAUUUUUUUUAAAGAAAAGGAAAACAUAAGAAAAAAUGCCAUAAAAUAGACGGGUAACUUUUCUGAUCAGAAUUCCAGACUAAAGCUUUUCUAUCCGUCUUAUUCCUUUCCAAAGAGUUUGCUGAAAAAUCAAAAGACAUUGGCUUAAAUACUUAACUCUAUGCCAGCACUGCAAACUUGGCUAUGUUCUGAAAGUGGGAUAAGCUUUGCUUUUGCUGAGCAUUGUUGCCCCAUUGCUUUCUGUUUCAAAGAGGAAACCUUGUUUGAAAGAAAGAAAGAAAA